rnacentral:rRNA from 1 species
UGACAGCCCCGUACACAAAAGCGCAUGUGCUGUGAGCUCGAUGAGUAGGGCGGGACACGUGGUAUCCUGUCUGAAUAUGGGGGGACCAUCCUCCAAGGCUAAAUACUCCUGACUGACCGAUAGUGAACCAGUACCGUGAGGGAAAGGCGAAAAGAACCCCGGCGAGGGGAGUGAAAAAGAACCUGAAACCGUGUACGUACAAGCAGUGGGAGCACAGGUUUACCUGUGUGACUGCGUACCUUUUGUAUAAUGGGUCAGCGACUUAUAUUCUGUAGCAAGGUUAACCGUAUAGGGGAGCCGAAGGGAAACCGAGUCUUAACCGGGCGUUAAGUUGCAGGGUAUAGACCCGAAACCCGGUGAUCUAGCCAUGGGCAGGUUGAAGGUUGGGUAACACUAACUGGAGGACCGAACCGACUAAUGUUGAAAAAUUAGCGGAUGACCUGUGGCUGGGGGUGAAAGGCCAAUCAAACCGGGAGAUAGCUGGUUCUCCCCGAAAGCUAUUUAGGUAGCGCCUCGUGAAUUCAUCUCCGGGGGUAGAGCACUGUUUCGGCUAGGGGGCCAUCCCGGCUUACCAACCCGAUGCAAACUGCGAAUACCGGAGAAUGUUAUCACGGGAGACACACGGCGGGUGCUAACGUCCGUCGUGAAGAGGGAAACAACCCAGACCGC